AGAGUUUGAUCCUGGCUCAGAACGAACGCUGGCGGCGUGCUUAACACAUGCAAGUCGAACGCGAAAGUUUUCUCUUGAGAAGACGAGUAGAGUGGCGCACGGGUGAGUAACGCGUAAAUAAUCUACCCCUGCAUCCGGGAUAACCCACCGAAAGGUGAGCUAAUACGGGAUACGUUCUUUUGAUCGCGAGAUCUUAAGAAGAAAGGUGGCCUCUGAUAUAAGCUACUGUGCGGGGAGGAGUUUGCGUACCAUUAGCUAGUUGGUAGGGUAAUGGCCUACCAAGGCAUCGAUGGUUAGCGGGUCUGAGAGGAUGAUCCGCCACACUGGAACUGGAACACGGACCAGACUCCUACGGGAGGCAGCAGUGAGGAAUAUUGCGCAAUGGGGGCAACCCUGACGCAGCGACGCCGCGUGGAUGAUGAAGGCCUUCGGGUCGUAAAAUCCUGUCAGAUGGAAAGAAGUGUGUAUGUGUUAAUAUCACAUACACUUGACGGUACCAUCAAAGGAAGCACCGGCUAACUCCGUGCCAGCAGCCGCGGUAAUACGGAGGGUGCAAGCGUUGUUCGGAAUUACUGGGCGUAAAGCGCGCGUAGGUGGGCUGUUAUGUCAGAUGUGAAAGUCCACGGCUCAACCGUGGAAGUGCAUUUGAAACUGGCAGACUUGAGUACUGGAGGGGGUAGUGGAAUUCCCGGUGUAGAGGUGAAAUUCGUAGAUAUCGGGAGGAAUACCGGUGGCGAAGGCGACUACCUGGCCAGAUACUGACACUGAGGUGC
rnacentral:rRNA from 1 species